UGCAAAUGACAUUGUUGGUGCUGAUG
rnacentral:piRNA from 1 species